CGUGGAAUCAUCCCUCCACAUCAAUUGCCAGACCCAUCAGCUCUGGCAACAGAUGUGUUCACCCAAGACUGGUCGCCUUUCCACCUUUUGCAUGGAUUCCCCGCUGCCUACUUCAAUUAAGACGCCAGACGGGAACUCUUGUGAUUGUGGUACUGUUAUGGCCCUCCCAACCAUGGUUUCCCUCCCUCCUGGAGAUGGCGAUAGACAUACCGCUCAUCCUCCCACACUUCGAGUACCUGCUUCAGGACCCGGAC